rnacentral:rRNA from 1 species
GAUGAACGCUGGCGGCGUGCCUAAUACAUGCAAGUCGAGCGAACGGACGAGAAGCUUGCUUCUCUGAUGUUAGCGGCGGACGGGUGAGUAACACGUGGAUAACCUACCUAUAAGACUGGGAUAACUUCGGGAAACCGGAGCUAAUACCGGAUAAUAUUUUGAACCGCAUGGUUCAAAAGUGAAAGACGGUCUUGCUGUCACUUAUAGAUGGAUCCGCGCUGCAUUAGCUAGUUGGUAAGGUAACGGCUUACCAAGGCAACGAUGCGUAGCCGACCUGAGAGGGUGAUCGGCCACACUGGAACUGAGACACGGUCCAGACUCCUACGGGAGGCAGCAGUAGGGAAUCUUCCGCAAUGGGCGAAAGCCUGACGGAGCAACGCCGCGUGAGUGAUGAAGGUCUUCGGAUCGUAAAACUCUGUUAUUAGGGAAGAACAUAUGUGUAAGUAACUGUGCACAUCUUGACAGUACCUAAUCAGAAAGCCACGGCUAACUACGUG